rnacentral:lncRNA from 1 species
GGCUACAUCGAUGAGCCACUGCUGCCAUUGUUCAACGACACCAGCAAAACUAUGUGUAUGUCUUACAAGAGAACCUGUUUUGGAUGCGUUGGCCUAACUAUGCACAAGGUAUUGUGUUCAUAUGUACUGCCUUAUACCACCUUGUUUGGAAUGCUUUAGACCUUUUGUGCUGCUAGGAAAAUUUAUGACGUAUUAUGCCCCAUGUUAAUUCCUCGAAUUAAAUAUCGCACACAUUCUGCAACUUCAUAAAACCGAGGAUGCCAAUGGCUUCGAUUGUGAAUAUUUCAGCCGUUACUGAGGCAUGACAACGCCGAGCUGGAACUACAAAAAUAAUGGACCCUUCUACGGCACGUGUUC